CCUCAAACCAACAAGACGACCCAAUGGUAAAGUUGAGUUCAUUAUUCCCUGAUAUGAAGUAGAAAAGAUUGAUGUAAUGGAUCUUGGUGGAAGAAACUAAAGGGCCAUAUCACGAUGCACCGCCUCUAGUAUGUCUUCAGAUUUCCAAAACUGAUUGAUCUUUUCCUUCCAUUACAAAUUGAUUUCGAGUGUGCCAAAUGGACCACAGAGUUAUUAGAAUUCUACUACAGGACCACACCAUAGCAGCAUAUGUAUUGUAGACUCUGGACACAACCCGCACCUUGGACAUAUUGGUGAAUGCGCUAUGAUUAUGUAGAAUAUGCCGAGAUGUAAUCCUUAUUUUGGAGUGGAUUUUCUGUUGCCAAAUUUUCUUGUAUAUUUCUAUUGUAUUAGUAACAUUAUUGUCUGUAAUAUGUUGACCGAUAAGAGUCUUGUACCCACUCUGAAUGGUAUAUUCGCUAGUUUUGUCGCAAGCCCAUAUGAGUCUAUCAUCCUCCACCAAUCGAGAGAGGCACGCAUAUGAUUUCUGUAGCAUCUUCCCUUGAGAAAACAUUGCCCGUUUUGGAAGCCAUCAAUCUAUCCAUACUGAGAUUUCAGACCCAGAGCCGACUCUUCAAUCGACUCCAUCUUCCAGCAUCUUUCUAGCCGCAAAUGUAACAAUCUGUUUUUAGUCAAAUCAGAACAGUAGUUUUAGAACCAUAAAUUCGAGGUUGAAAUAUUUAUUUUAUUAUUAAUUUGAGGUCUACAACAUGAUAGUAUGAUUGUGAAAAAAAAAAUUUAAGAAA